rnacentral:rRNA from 1 species
AUAUUGGACCAUGGGCGAAAGCCUGCAUCAUCCAUUCCGUAUGUGUGAAGAAGGUCUUUGGUUUGUAUAGUUUGUUAUGUUGGGAGGAAGGGAUGUAGAUUAAUACUCUGCAAUUUUGACGUUACCGAUAGAAUAAGCACCGGCUAACUUCGUGCAAUCAGCUGAGGUAAUACGAAGUGUGCAAGCGUUAAUCGGAAUUACUGGGCGUAAAGCGCGCGUAGGUGGUUCGUUAAGUUGGAUGUGAAAGCCCCGGGCUCAACCUGGGAACUGCAUCCAAAACUGGCGAGCUAGAGUACGGUAGAGGGUGGUGGAAUUUCCUGUGUAGCGGUGAAAUGCGUAGAUAUAGGAAGGAACACCAGUGGCGAAGGCGACCACCUGGACUGAUACUGACACUGAGGUGCGAAAGCGUGGGGAGCAAACAGG